rnacentral:misc_RNA from 1 species
GAUGAAGAACGUAGCGAAAUGCGAUAAGUAAUGUGAAUUGCAGAAUUCAGUGAAUCAUCGAGUCUUUGAACGCACAUUGCGCCCCCUGGUAUUCCGGGGGGCAUGCCUGUCCGAGCGUCAUUGCUGCCCUCAAGCACGGCUUGUGUGUUGGGCCCCCGUCCCCGGUUUCCCCCGGGGACGGGCCCGAAAGGCAGCGGCGGCACCGCGUCCGGUCCUCGAGCGUAUGGGGCUUUGUCACCCGCUCUGUAGGCCCGGCCGGCGCCAGCCGACACCCAACUUUAUUUCUACGGUUGACCUCGGAUCAGGUAGGGAUACCCGCUGAACUUAAGCAUAUCAAUAAGCGGAGGA